UAUUAUUGCUAACAUCUGAUAGUGAUUGUUAUUACUAUAUCUCCACAGCAGUGCAAAUAUAUUAUACUCCUCUUAUUUUGAGGUAAAUAAAAGGAAGAGAUAUUACUUCGAAAAAGGAAAAUGUGGGCAAGAAGUGCAACACCAAGUUUAAGGCCAACUAAAUGGAAAGAGUAUGAAAAACGUCUCUCCUUUUUGUACAGAAAACUGAACAGAAAAACCAAAACUGGUCCUUCUCCAAUCUAAAAAGAUUUAAGUUAUUGUAGUCUUUAGGUUUAACUUAAAUAAAUAAAAAAGCUUU
rnacentral:lncRNA from 1 species